rfam:Triticum aestivum genome assembly, contig: Triticum_aestivum_CS42_TGACv1_scaffold_222688_3B
UACAUACCCCCUCCGUCCCAAAAUUCUUGUCUUAGAUUUGUCUAAAUACGGAUGUAUCAAGUCACGUUUUAGUAUUAGAUACACCCGUAUCUAGAAAAAUCUAAGACAAGAAUUUUGGGACGGAGGGAGUAUGUG